UUCCUCCGAGGCCCAGCCUGGUAUCAUAAUCUCGGAAUCUCUGCAGUGUGUAUGUAGAUAUCUGGGGAGUUGGCAGGAGUUUUGUCUCUGUAGGGUGAAGGGCAAACUUGGCAGUUUGUGCCUAGGGCCACACAAUCAGAUACAUGGUCCAGAGAAGGGACCGGGGUUGGAUGCCCACAGAAAUGUUGGAAAAACACAUCAUGGAUACAAACAUUGCCUCUGUUUUUUUCCAACUCAGCCUGUACUUCAUGGUGGUUAGCGCCAUUUACUGAUCGUUUAAUGGCAGGUAAUCUUAUUCCUAGAUUCCUUUCCUUGUUCUAUGGGCAUCGAGGGAGCUUGGUUUUCUAAAAAUACAAAUGAUUGACACUGUGUGUGUGUGUGUGUGUGUGUGUGUGUGUGUGUGUGAUGUAUGUGCACAGCAGUGCCCACACGUGCUAGUCAGCUCUGCAGUUUUACUAUGUAAGUUGGGAAUUGAACUUAGGUGGUCAGGCUUGGUGGCCAGCGCCUUUACUUACUGAGACAUCUCACGGGUUCAUAGUCCAGUUUAUAUUUUCCUAGGGAAAUUUAUUGGUUUUCAUUUUUCAUAACUUCUGUCAAAUGACUUUGCCUAUGAGUUUGAUACCUGUCUGCCCUCUGUAAGUGCAAACGGACAUUCGGUAGAUUCCUGCUCUUUUUGUUGCUAUUUCUCUGUUGCCCUGUAUCCUACAGCUAGCAAGCCAUCUUCCCUUCUUCCCUUUCCUGUCUCUGUCUCCCUACUCCCCAGCCCUUCUUAAAGUCCUUUCUAGGUCAUUGUCUCAGUCAUAUGACUGUAACUCUGACCUUCCAUUUUGGUUGUUGUUUUGGUGUCUUCCUUGACAUUGUUCUUCGUGGGUUACUUCCUACAAACGAUUCAAUUCUUAGGGACACAGGAGUAAACUGUGACCCACCACAGAGUCUACUAACUCCUCCACCUAGCCUGAUGCCAAGGCACCUCGGAGUACAGGAGCUAUGGUUACUUCUUUGAUGACAUCAUUGCCACACUGUCUGUUUUCUUGUUUUAAAUCAAGAGAAUGCCCUAGCCAGCUAAACUUUCUUGUUAAAUGCAUGUCAAGCAAGAGUUUUAAGAGACCUAUUGAAAGUUCCUUUCCUUUGAAGAGCUAUUCUUGUGUGCUGAAAAAAAAAGGAGAACAAGUGUUAACACGCUCCUAGAAUGUUCCAGGAGGAGAGAUAAGCUCACAGUGUUCACCGAGGUAGCCUUACUCUUGCUUGUUUGCUUUGAGCAAGUGUAGACAAACAACCAGUCGAUGCUUGCUGGAUGAAUGCAUGAGAACACUGGCUCCCGGGAAGAGUGUCAGGGCUCCAUGGAAGUCUUCUUCCCUCUGGGGUUUAGGGUUCUUUAUUAGUUUUAGGGGGAAACAGUCAGACUUUGUGGAGCCAGCGCUUUCUACCAUUCCUUGGCUGUGGGAUGCUGGGUUUUAGCUGAUGUCCCCAGACCAGUUCUUUGGGUAAUAAUUCUUUGCCUUCUGGAAAUGCUUCUGAGAUGAGAUCCUCAGGACGGAGCAUGCUCUGGAGAGGAUUUCUGGGUU
rnacentral:lncRNA from 1 species